CAAAGGCCGGACUGGGUGGAGUGGUUAGUCUUUUACAAAAUUGUACCCAGUACCCUGCCUUCAGCAAGCCAAACUAUAAACAUCAGAAAGACGUUUGACCACAGAGGCACUGCUGAUGUGAAAUGACCGAGGAGAUGCAAGUUUAACAGACUUCCUGGAAGCUCCUGUUUCUGGUCUGACGUCACCCACUGCAGCCAUCUU